rnacentral:rRNA from 1 species
GGUUUACCUGUGUGACUGCGUACCUUUUGUAUAAUGGGUCAGCGACUUAUAUUCUGUAGCAAGGUUAACCGUAUAGGGGAGCCGGAGGGAAACCGAGUCUUAAUUGGGCGUUAAGUUGCAGGGUAUAGACCCGAAACCCGGUGAUCUAGCCAUGGGCAGGUUGAAGGUUGGGUAACACUAACUGGAGGACCGAACCGACUAAUGUUGAAAAAUUAGCGGAUGACCUGUGGCUGGGGGUGAAAGGCCAAUCAAACCGGGAGAUAGCUGGUUCUCCCCGAAAGCUAUUUAGGUAGCGCCUCGUGAAUUCAUCUCCGGGGGUAGAGCACUGUUUCGGCUAGGGGGCCAUCCCGGCUUACCAACCCGAUGCAAACUGCGAAUACCGGAGAAUGUUAUCACGGGAGACACACGGCGGGUGCUAACGUCCGUCGUGAAGAGGGAAACAACCCAGACCGCCAGCUAAGGUCCCAAAGUCAUGGUUAAGUGGGAAACGAUGUGGGAAGGCCCAGACAGCCAGGAUGUUGGCUUAGAAGCAGCCAUCAUUUAAAGAAAGCGUAAUAGCUCACUGGUCGAGUCGGCCUGCGCGGAAGAUGUAACGGGGCUAAACCAUGCACCGAAGCUGCGGCAGCGAACGUAUCACCCAAGACAACUUUACGGAGUUGACGAUUGACGGAGCGAAGCGACGUCAAAGCGUUCAUUAAAGUCGAGUUGGCUUAGGGAUACGUUCGUUGGGUAGGGGAGCGUUCUGUAAGCCUGUGAAGGUGUGUCGUGAGGC